UGGUCAUUGCCAAGGCUUUUAGAAUGCAGUGUCUCAUUUGCUGUGGACAUGACCGUAAAAAAAUUUCCCACUAGUUUUUCUAUCUGCUACUUUGCUAACAAUCAAAGUAUUGAUUGGGAACAUUU